rfam:TPA: Bos taurus chromosome 10, whole genome shotgun sequence.
UCCCUGCUAGCUUAGCUGGUAAAGAAUCCGCCUGCAGUGUGGGAGACCUGGGUUGGAUCCCUGGGUUGGGAA